UGGCCAAUGUGACCAGGCCACUGCGCAAUCUUGUGUUCUGGGAACCAGGUGUUGAGCGUGUUGUAACAUCAGAAAGAGGCUG
ensembl:scaRNA